GGAGCAACGCCGCGUGAGUGAUGAAGGUUUUCGGAUCGUAAAGCUCUGUUGUUAGGGAAGAACAAGUGCAAGAGUAACUGCUUGCACCUUGACGGUACCUAACCAGAAAGCCACGGCUAACUACGUGCCAGCAGCCGCGGUAAUACGUAGGUGGCAAGCGUUGUCCGGAAUUAUUGGGCGUAAAGGGCUCGCAGGCGGUUUCUUAAGUCUGAUGUGAAAGCCCCCGGCUCAACCGGGGAGGGUCAUUGGAAACUGGGAAACUUGAGUGCAGAAGAGGAGAGUGGAAUUCCACGUGUAGCGGUGAAAUGCGUAGAGAUGUGGAGGAACACCAGUGGCGAAGGCGACUCUCUGGUCUGUAACUGACGCUGAGGAGCGAAAGCGUGGGGAGCGAACAGGAUUAGAUACCCUGGUAGUCCACGCCGUAAACGAUGAGUGCUAAGUGUUAGGGGGUUUCCGCCCCUUAGUGCUGCAGCUAACGCAUUAAGCACUCCGCCUGGGGAGUACGGUCGCAAGACUGAAACUCAAAGGAAUUGACGGGGGCCCGCACAAGCGGUGGAGCAUGUGGUUUAAUUCGAAGCAACGCGAAGAACCUUACCAGGUCUUGACAUCCUCUGACAACCCUAGAGAUAGGGCUUUCCCUUCGGGGACAGAGUGACAGGUGGUGCAUGGUUGUCGUCAGCUCGUGUCGUGAGAUGUUGGGUUAAGUCCCGCAACGAGCGCAACCCUUGAUCUUAGUUGCCAGCAUUUAGUUGGGCACUCUAAGGUGACUGCCGGUGACAAACCGGAGGAAGGUGGGGAUG
rnacentral:rRNA from 1 species